ACAAGUCUGGCCCAGCGGUUGCAAGAGAGCAAGGCCUUUGAAUGGUGUCCGUUGGGCUCUGUGUUAAAGCAGAAGCAGCAGAAGGUUUGGGGCAUUCCAAGGAGACUGUAACACACCCCACAUAAGGGGUUUCAGAAGUAACUGGAAGGUCCCUUGCGGAUGCUGCACUUUGGCUAGUAAGACCACAGCGGGCACAACAAUGAAGAAGCCAGACAGUGCUAAUGGCUCAUCAGCAAAGACAAAGGGCUACAGAAGAAUUUAGCCUUCCUGUGACAGCCAGCCAGUAAGUAAUGGCUGCUACGACUCAGCAAGGACAUGUGACCAGACCAUGUGACACUGAACACCAUUUUGGGUACCUGUAUUUUUCCACAAACUGGGCUGGGAACAGUUUUUGGAACAAAGGGUUCCCCCUACAUGUUAAAGCUCUAUAAGGUGAAGUGUGACAUCAUCUAGUGGCCUCAUUCCCCACACAAGGACACUCCUGGAAACACCUGAGGAACAAAGACUGAACUGGGGGAAGUGCUGAUCCCAGGCUAAAAGGAUUUCUACCCUGUGUAUGGAAACCUGGUGGACUGCUUGUACCAUCAGCCAG